CCAGACAUGGAACUGACCAGAGCCCAUCCACCUGGCCAGUAUUUAAUUAAAGCUUGCUUCAAGUUUGACUUUAAACUGUGGUAGUGGUCUUAUUCUAAACCCAUGGGAUUAAUUUUUCUCGAGGCUCCAUCGAGAUUCAGACCACUACCUAAAUCCUAAAGCUGGACAUUCACUCUGGGACUCUGGGGCUGAGGGUCUGCUUCAAGGAGGCAUGUGCCUUGAGAUAUUCCAAGGCUCUAAGGCUUUUUUCAGCUCAUGGACUAUCUCAGCAUGAACUGACAUGCUGAGAAAUGCAGCAAGCAUCUAUGGAGGCCUCCUGGCAAGUUUUUCCUAUUUCUGUCUUUGAAUCUUGUGGCAAUCUCAAGUUUGUCUCAAUAAUCACGACUCCGCCUUCAGACGAGAGCACUCCUCCUCCCGCCUUCAGACGAGAGCACUCCUCCCGCCCUGCCCACAGAUGGACUUCCCAAUGGCAUGCAGACACAUCUCCUCAAAGGAGACUGUAAAUCCUUUGAUCAAGUGAAGAAAUGAGAGUUCCUGUGCAGAUUUCACACUGGUCUGGAAACAUCUGAGCUCUUCAGCGUAUUGUGCUAAUUAUUACUUUCAGGAGAAAGGAGAAAGCAAUCCAUCAACAUAUGUUCUCACCAGCAAGAAAAUACCACACAAGAAUGCAUCCAAGGAUGGAUACCGAAGGGCUUGAACUCAGAUGGCUGUAAAUUCAGAUUCUUGCCAUGGUAGAGAAAUUAGAAGACUUUCUGCACCUGGAGAAAAGAAGCUAUGAACAGCUGAGCCCAGCUGCGGAAGGAUGCAUACUUUAUCACGCUGCAGUUUUGCUAAGCCCCUCUCCCCUGGAAGAUAUUCUCUGUAACCAAAGAGGCUCUCCUGAUGGAAAUGUGUUACUGUUACAGGGUCUAGAUUCUGAACUCAGGGGUGCAUUCAGACAGUCACAAUGCAAACGUAUCCCUAUGCUCUAAUUAAAAUUUAAGGUGAAAGGCAUAAAUAAACAAAAAGUUGAGCCAACCUGAUUCAGUGAAGGAAUUCCUAAGGAUGCUUCCUUUUCAAACCUAUUAAGGUUAGGUGUGGUGGCACAGGCCUUUAAUCCCUACCCUGGGGA